GUAGGGUGCGAGCGUUAAUCGGAAUUACUGGGCGUAAAGCGAGCGCAGACGGUUAAAUAAGUCAGAUGUGAAAUCCCCGAGCUCAACUUGGGACGUGCAUUUGAAACUGUGUAACUAGAGUGUGUCAGAGGGAGGUAGAAUUCCACGUGUAGCAGUGAAAUGCGUAGAGAUGUGGAGGAAUACCGAUGGCGAAGGCAGCCUCCUGGGAUAACACUGACGUUCAUGCUCGAAAGCGUGGGUAGCAAACAGGAUUAGAUACCCUGGUAGUCCACGCCCUAAACGAUGACAAUUAGCUGUUGGGACACUAGAUGUCUUGGUAGCGAACUAACGCGUGAAAUUGUCCGCCUGGGGAGUACGGUCGCAAGAUUA
rnacentral:rRNA from 1 species